UACAGAGGUCUCAAGCGUUGUUCGGAUUCAUUGGGCGUAAAGGGUGCGUAGGCGGCGCGGUAAGUCGGGUGUGAAAUCUCGGAGCUUAACUCCGAAACUGCAUUCGAUACUGCCGUGCUUGAGGACUGGAGAGGAGACUGGAAUUUACGGUGUAGCGGUGAAAUGCGUAGAUAUCUGGAGGAACACCGGUGGCGAAGGCGCGAUUCUGGCCCGAUACUGACGCUGAGGCGCGAAAGCCAGGGGAGCAAACGGG
rnacentral:rRNA from 1 species